AUAUGGACAGACUUUGAUGGCCACAUUCAAAGCCACUUAAAUUCUUCAAAUUUUGUGUCUCGAGUAUCUCCUCCAUUGUUUCCACAAUUGAACAGAGAAUCUUUCCUUUCUCUCUGUUUCUUUUUCCUUCUUUCUGCAUCCAUGAAAAGCUGAAAGGAAGAAGAAGAAAGAUCACAAGAAACCUAUUGAAUAAGAAUAAGAAUAAGAAUAAGAAUGGCUUUUCUUCUACCAAACCUCUCUCCUUCACUUCUCAUGAGCUCCAAAUCAUCAUCCUCAAAAGACAGAGAGAAAUCAAUAAUUACUUCCCAAACCCAAAACCAAACACUCUCUUCUUCUUCUUCUCAUAAUUUCAGUUAUCAAUCAACAACUGAUACUAAAACAAAACCCACCACUACCAACACCUCCCUCUUUCCUUCUCAGGUUCCGCAAGAUACACACCAAAAAGAUGAGUUCUUUAUCAACCUUGGCCUUGCUGUACGGACCCUCCGUGAGGAUUUGCCUUUGUUGUUUACCAAAGACCUCAAUUAUGAUAUUUACAGGGAUGAUAUCACUUUUCAAGACCCGUUGAACACUUUUACUGGCAUUGACAAGUACAAGUUGAUUUUUUGGGCUUUGAGGUUUCAUGGGAAGAUAUUGUUUAGAGAGAUUUCACUUGAGGUUUAUAGGGUUUGGCAGCCUUCAGAGAAUGUAAUCUUGAUUAGGUGGGAUCUAAAGGGUGUCCCAAGAGUCCCAUGGGAAGCCAAGGGACAAUUUCAGGGCACUUCAAGGUAUAAAUUGGAUAGAAAUGGUAAAAUUUAUGAACAUAAAGUCGAUAAUUUGGCCUUUAAUUUCCCUCGGCCACUCAAACCAGCAGCUUCAGUAUUGGAUUUAGUGGCUGCUUGCCCAGCGAGCCCUAAUCCUACAUUUUUGUGGGCCCCUUCGGAGGUCUAUUCAUCGUCAUGGGUGGAGUUUUAUCGUGCAGUUAGAGAGACUUUGGAUCAAGAAGGCCACCAAUUACUGGUGCAAGAUGGUUUGGUUACUUGCUCCUAGUUCCUGAGAAAUGGUGCUUCUAGAGGUUAGUGCUCUUUUUAUAUUAUUCACCAUAUUGUGCAGCAUGGAUGAAAAUGGAGGGAGGUAGAGAGAGCAGGAUCUUUGCAGCUAUGCUUGUCAGAAUGUGGAUGCAAGCAAACUAUCUGAUUCUUAUGAGGCAGUAACAUGGUGGAAGAUUCAAAACAAUUCAUAAUUAAGGAGAUGCAGACUGCAAAUAAGUUAGUUUCAGGAAAAAUGUUGUCCCUCUUAUGGAGCUCGAAACAAACCGGUUGGUCUGACUGAAAUCACCAGAAAAUCAGUCAAUUCGGUCAUAGUUUUGAAAUUUUACAGACCUCUCUGGUUGACAUAGAAAGCCCGACAUGCUUAUUUACCAAUUUACCAGAGCUUCAACUGCAGAUGCACAGACUACUGAUAGAUACUCAGUUUAAAAACAAGAGUCAGCUCUUGUUGCCCUUGUAAUACUAAAGAGGUAUCUCUCUUUAUGAUAUAUGAAUAAUCCAUGGUCUGAUCAUA